rnacentral:misc_RNA from 1 species
ACGUUUACACAAACUUCUAAAUGUAAUGAAUGUAAUCAUAUUAUAACAAUA